rnacentral:tRNA from 3 species
CGCGGAGUAGAGCAGUGGUAGCUCGCAAGGCUCAUAACCUUGAGGUCGUAUGUUCGAUUCAUACCUCCGCAACCA